rnacentral:rRNA from 1 species
UACAGAGACUGCAAGCGUUAUUCGGAUUCACUGGGCGUAAAGCGCACGUAGGCGGAUCGUUAAGUCGGGGGUGAAAUCCUGGAGCUCAACUCCAGAACUGCCUUCGAUACUGGCGAUCUUGAGUCCGGAAGAGGUGAGUGGAACUCCUAGUGUAGAGGUGGAAUUCGUAGAUAUUAGGAAGAACACCAGUGGCGAAGGCGGCUCACUGGUCCGGUACUGACGCUGAGGUGCGAAAGCGUGGGGAGCAAACAGG